rnacentral:rRNA from 1 species
GACAGAGGAUGCAAGCGUUAUCCGGAAUUACUGGGCGUAAAGCGUGCGCAGGCGGUUAUGUAAGACAGUUGUGAAAUCCCCGGGCUCAACCUGGGAACUGCAUCUGUGACUGCAUAGCUAGAGUACGGUAGAGGGGGAUGGAAUUCCGCGUGUAGCAGUGAAAUGCGUAGAUAUGCGGAGGAACACCGAUGGCGAAGGCAAUCCCCUGGACCUGUACUGACGCUCAUGCACGAAAGGCGUGGGGAGCAAACAGG